AUUUAGCAUAAAGUGCUCACUGUCCUAGAUUUUAUGAUCACGUUGGGGUGGUGAGUGGGAGUAGGAGGCAGACAGCAAACAAACGAUGACAUCAGUACGCAACGCUGUGAUGGGUUGGGGCAAGUGCUGUGAAGUAAAAUGAGGCAAAAAGACUGUGGUGGUGGGGGUCUCAUUUUAGGGUUUGCGGUGAUCAUGUUUGUUUCUACUUUUAAAAAACAGAGGUAUAGUCUAGGCUGACUGGGGCUACAUAGUGAGAUCAUAUCUCAAAAAAAAGUGUAAUUGGCAUACUGCAAGAUGCACACGGGUUAAGUGUUCAGUCAGGGAGCUCCGACAAUUGUAUAGGCCUGAGAGGAUUUAAAAGCUUGUUGAAGGGGGAGAGGGAUGUCUCAGUGGUUAGAAGCAACUGUUACUGUUCCAGAUGAGCUGGGUUUGAUUCCCACCACCCAUGUGAUGGCUCAUACCUGUCUGUAACUCGGUUCUGAAGGGUCCAAUGUCCUCUUCUGGCACCAUGGGUACCAGGAACACACAUGGUACACAGGCAUACAUACAAGCAUAACACACAAACACAUAAAAUAAAAAUAAGUCUAAAAAUAUAAAUAAAAUAGAUAAACAUCUGCAAAUUAUGUGCCACUCCCUCCAUUCCUUUUCCUCAAAUUUGCACUGGCAUUAGUGACUUUCUUCCAUUGAUAUGAUUUCUAAAACUAAAACACCAUGGCAACGACUCCACCUGGAAGUGUUUCUUGUUCACGCCCUCUCCCUUCUGCCACCAGUCUCUCCCUCUGUCCCUCCCUUCCCCUCUUUCCUCUCUCCCUUCUCCCUUCCUUUGCACCUCUCUUUCCCUCUUUCCAUCCGUCUGUUCCUCAAAAUCCAUCCACUGCACUGUAGAGGAAAUCAAGAAGCCACAGGGAGAAACCAUGUGUAGAUAGAUGAUCUUGCUGACGCUUGCCAUACUGUGGUUCUGAAAUGCCCCAAAGGUCCAUGUGUUAAAAGUUUUAAUGCCCUGUCCAUAAUACUAUUGAAAGAUGCUUAAGAGGUGGGGCCUACAUGGAAGGCUCUUAAGAGGUGGUGCCUACAGGACUCUGGAGAUGUGCCUUUGAAGAGGAUGUUGAAAUGCUUGCCCCUUACUCUCUCGUAUUGGUUUAAAUAUUAAGGCAACUCCACGUAGUUAAAAGAGAGGUUUAUUUUGUGGGGUAACUUACAAGUGAAGGGAUAGGUUACAGAGUCUGGGAAAGGUGAAGCGCAGUCCAGCGGUGUUCUCUGGAGAACUCUGCUCGGUCUACCUCCAGCGUCCAGGAUCCAGGAACCAAGAGAGCCGGCCCAUCCGAAUCUCGGGUCUUCAGGGUCCUCUCUUGGCUCCACCUUGUAGGCAUGACAGUUACCGAAGCCUCAAAGGGAGUGAUACUUCCAGGUCAAAGCUGGAACAGCUACCCACUACACUCUCUCUUCCUGGCCACCAUAAGGUGAACAGUCUUCUCCACUAUGUGUUUCUACCGUGAUGUACUGUGCAGCCAUAGGCCCAAAGCAGCAGGACCAAGUACCAUGUGUUGGAAACUCUGAAGCCGUGAGCCAAAAUCAACCCCUCUUCUUUGUAAGCUGAUUAUUCCAGGAACUUUGCUACAGUGGUGGGAAACUGAUUAAUGCAUGGAGGCAGCCUAGGAUGCAGGCAACAGGCAAAGUUGGGAGUAAGUCAUCAGAAUAUUUCAGCCCCAGGGUCUUUAAGAUUUUCAGCCGAGGCCCCAGGCAUCACAGACUUCAGUCUCUGUGGCACCCUGUCUAAGUUCCUCUUCCACAGGAAUCCUGAGAAUAUAGUUGUUUUUGAAUAACUAAGUUUGAGGGCAAUUUAUAUUUCGGCAAUGGACAACAGAAACAAUGCUCAUGUAAUUGUGGUGGGAAGUUCAGAACAUUUUCAGCAUUCUAGAAAGUUCCUCUGGGCCCAUCUCAGUCAGUUCCCCAGUCAGCUCUUACUUUUUCUUUUACUAGCACAGUUUAAUUUUGCUGAUUACAGAGAAGAAAGAUCUUUGAACAAAAUACAUUUUAUUAGACGGCUUCAAAGAGUAUGAAGGCAAUUGAUCCGUGCAAAAAGCCAUGAGACAAACAGAGACAAUACCCAAAGAUCCAUGAGAUGGAGCAGAGGCAACAUCCAGAGCAGAGGCUACAGGUGGGAGUGUGACUGGGGAGGGCAAAAUAGACACCUAAUAUCAACCUUUAGCCUCCAGACCAUGUAUGGGUGCUAGUGUGUGUGUGCAUGCACACACAUACCUACACAAGUGAAAAUGCACAUGCCACACAGACAUGCACAUGCAAAGAAAGAGGAGGAGGAAAAGAACUUACUGAAGAAAAAAAUCAAUCAGAAACACUGGAAAUGAACAAUGUGAUACAUUAAAUAAAAAAUGCAUCAGAAAGCUUCACUGACAGAAUGGACUAAGGGGAGGGAAGAGUGUCCAAGGUUGAAGACAGAGUGGAAGAACUGACACAUUUCUUUAAGGACACUGGUACAUUUUUCAAAUACAUAAACAGAACACAUAAGAUCUUUGAGAUAUCAUGAGAAGAUCAAAUCCACAAUUCUGCCCAUAGAAGGAGGAGAAGACCUCCCUACCAAAAGCAUAGAAAACAUACUAAAUACAAUUGAAGCAGAAAGUUUCCCAAACCAAGGGUUAGAGGGGCCCAUCCAGGUGUAAAAGGCACACAGAGCACCAAGUAGGCAGGACCAGAAAAGAAACCCUCACAUCAUAUUGUAGUGAAAAGUGCUAAAUUUGCAGAACAAGAAAGUGUGUUGAAAGCUGUUGGAAGGAACGCCAAACCAUGUAUAAAGGUGGCACAAUAAGACUCCACCAAAAAUUCUUACCAUGGCUAAACACUUCAGCACAGUGGCAGGAAUCAAAAUUAACAUGAGAAAAAGAUGUCUAGAAAGAAAUUAGGGGAACAAUUCCGUUCACGAUUGCCACACGCACAAAAGUCACUUUAGAAUAAACCUAAGUGGGGAUGUGAAAGGGCUCUGCACUGAAAAAUUUUAAAACAACUCAAGAGGGAAAUGGAAGAAAACACUCAUAGAAGAUGAGAAGACUUCCCAUGCUCAGGGGUUGGGAGAAUCAAUAUUGUGAAAACAGCUGUCUUACCAAAAGCGAUCUGCAGACUCAGUGCAAUCCGCCUCAAAAUUCUAAUGCCAUCCUUUACAGAAACAGACAAAAUAAAUCAUUUAAAAGUUUUUUAAAGAUUCAUUUUUAAUCAUGUGGAUUUGGGGGGUGGGUAGAGUCAUGUGGAGUCCUUAAGAGGGUGUCAGAUCCUCUGGAACUGGAGUUACAGACAGUUGUGAGCUGUAGGUACUGGGCGCUGAACUUGGGUCCUCUGCAAGGGCAGUACAUGCUCUUCACGCUCACCCAUCUCUCCAGCUCCAUUUUUUUUCCAAACAGAGUUUCUCUGUGUAGCCCUGACUGUCUUGGAAUUCCCUCUGUAGACAAGGCUGGUCUUGAACUCAGAGAUUAGCCUGCUUCUGCCUCUUCUGAGUGUUGGGAUUGAAGGAGUGAGCCACGCCUGCCUGGCUUCAAAAAAAUUUAAAAGUCUCUUGGAACCACAAUAAACCUCAGAUAGAAAAAGUAAUCCUGAGGGGAUGAGGGAAGUUUGGAGGUAUCAUCAAACCUAAUUUCAAGGUAUAUUACAGAGCCACAGUAACAAAAUAAUCAAACAAACAUGGUAAUGGCACACACACACACACACACACACACACACACACACACACACAACAAUAAACCAACAAAAAACAAAACAAAACAAACAGAAACCAGACACAUAAAUCAAUGGAACAGAAUAGAAAAAGCAAAUAAAAACUAUAGCCAUAUAGUUUGAGAGCCAAAAAAUACUCACUGGAGAAAAGAGAGCCUCUUUAACAAAUGUGCUGGGAAAAAUGGGUUAUCUAUAAUGUAGGAGAUUGAAACUAGAUACUCAUCUCUCACACCACACAAAAAUCAACUUCACAUGCAUUAAAGAUCUUAAUGCAACCUCUGAAACUCUGAAACUGCUAGAAGAAAAAGAAAAGAAAACACUUCAAGAUAUAGACAUAGGUAAGGACUUUCUGAAUGAGAUGCUAGUCGCUCAGGAAAUAUUGCCAACAAUUGACAAAUGGGACUUGAUGAAAUUAAAAGGCUUUACAGCAAAGGAAAGGGUUAAUGGGGUGAAGAGGAAGUCUACUGAAUGGGAGAGGAUCUUUAGCAGAUAGACACAUGGAAGGGGAUAAAUACCUAGACUACACAAAACAAACCUGAUUAUCAAGAAAAUAAUCCAAUCAAAAGAUAGGCUGUGUAGCUGAACACAGAAUUCCUAAAAGAAUAAAUACAAAUGGCCAGUAAAUAAUAUUCAAUGUCCCUAGCCAUCAGGGAAGUGCAAAUUAAAAUUGUUGUUUGAUUCCAAUUCACCCUAGUCAGACUGGUUAUUCUCAAGAAAACAAAGGAUAAUAAAUGCUGUCAUAGACAUGUGGAAAGGGAAAUCAUCAUUCAUUGUUGAUGGGAGUACGAACUGGUGCAGCCACUACAGAAAUCAGUGUGGAGGUUUCUCAAAAAAAACUAAGAGAGGGGCUGGAGAAAUGGCUCAGAGGUUAAGAACACUGGCUGUUCUUCAAGAGGUUCUGAGUUCAAUUCCCAGCACCCACAUGGUGGCUCACAACCAUCUGUAAUGAGAUCUGACUCCCUCUUUUGGCCUGCAGGGAUACAUGCAAACAGAACACUGUAUACAUAAUAAAUAAAUAAAUCUUAAAAAAAAAAACUAAGAGAAAUGCCACAUGACCCAGGUAUACCACUCCUAGACAUACACACAGUAGGCUGUGCUGUGGAAUAAUCCUUUUGUGAAGAUUUGUCACUCAGAUUGGUUUAAUAAAGAAGCUGACUGUCCAGUAGCUGAGCAAAUAAAGUUGGGUAGGAGAGCCAGACUAGGAGAAUUCUGGGAGGAAGAAGGGCAGAGUUGGAGGAGGGAGACAUAGGGAGCAGCAAAACGGCCAUGCCAUGCUGAGAGAAGGUACCAAGCCACGUGGCAAAGUGUAGAUGAGAAAUGUGGGUUAAUUUAAAUGUAAGAGUUAGCUAGUAACAAGCCCGAGCUAUUGGCCAAGCAUUUGUAAUAAAUAUAAGCCUCAGUGUGUUUAUUUGGGAGCUGGUGGCAGGACAGAAACUUCAGCCUACAGGACUCUACAUCCUAGCACAGAGAUACUUGCUCACUCCUAUUUGUUACAGCUCUUCACAAUAGCUAGAAAAUGGAAUCAGCCAUGAUUUCCAGGAACAGAUGAGUGGAUAAUGAAAAUGUGAUACAUACAUGCAUAGAAUUUUAUUCUGCUUUAAUGAAAAAUGAAAUUAUGAACGUUGCAGAAGAAUUGAUGGAACUGGGAAAUACACUAAACGAGGAUCCAGGCUCAGAGAGACAGUCAUUGCUUCUCUCUCAUAUGUGGAUCACAGGUUUGAAAUUUCAGAUUUAUAUGUUUAAGUUGGAGUGACUGUAGGGGCAAGGAGCCUAGAUGGGGUGAUGAACGGGAGAAGGCACUAAGGAAGGGUAUAGUAGAACAUAAUGUGAUAGGAAAGUAGAGGGAAAGAAUACUGGGGUGGAGAUGUUUAAGUGAGGAUGGGGUUAGGAGGGAAGAAGGAGGUAAGGAGAUGAGAGUUAACCAAAACAAGGAUGCAUGAAAGUGUCCUAUGGAAACCUACUACUUUGUAAACUGUUAAAAAAUGGACUUAGAAAAAAAAUUAGAAUGGAAGGGUAAAGGACCAUAACUCUUGGUUGAGACAGCACCUCUCCUUAAUCCAAUGCUAGAGCCCCCACUGGCUAUUAAAUAGGACCUGAGGAGUUAGUGUUUACCUUUUUCUUUUCAAAGAAACAGUUUUGCCAGAAACUGGGGGAAGGCUUCAGUGAAAGAGAAGACAGAAGAACAGCUCACUGUUCAAUCUUCAUGGCCUGUGGAAAGAACCAUUGAUUAAAAGCCACAAGGACAGUAUUGUCCAUGUUGAGUAGACUUGGGAUCCUUGAAAAACCACUCAGCCUGGGAGGACUAUCAAACCCAGAUCUGGAAUGAACUGGAAUAAUGCGGCCUACAUUUUGAGGUGUUUUGUGUGAUCUCAGGGUCUGUUUUGGCUGUUUUCCUAGCUCCCAGCUUGGACUGUCACCUACACUUCAGCUUCACAAAGAGACAGUCCACUAGCUUGUGGUAUGAGAAAAUGCUAAUUGCUUAUUGGAGAAAACAAUGUACUAGUUAUGUACAUUCCAUGACUCACCCAUGCACAAGGUGACUCAACUCCCAGAUGUCCUCUUGCUGAACUCUGGCCCUUUGAGAUUCAGCCCAAAGGCUCUGUCCUUAUCUAAGCUUGAUAAUAUCUAUUAUCAAGCAUCCUAGGCAACUGUCAAGUAUCUUCAGAUGCUGGAUAACAUGCCUAGUUCUAGGAUUCCAGUGUGUAUGUUUGUAUGGUCCUGAACCUGAACAUUUAACCACUACAUGGCUCAGCCUCUCUGGGGAUGCUCCUCUUUCAAUACUGAGCACAUGGCAUGAUAUAGCAAACCAUCAGUUGUCCUGCAAGGCUCCUUACUCUUCUUAGCAGCAUGUGUCAAGAUGGAGAUGGUUUCCCAACAUAUUUUAAGCAAGCUAUUGCUAUAUAACAGAAUACGAGAAGGAACUCUCCUUUCUAGGACUUCUACUUUUACUGCCUAUGGGCCCGGCUUGGCCACACACACCAGUAUGGUACCCUGGUGAUGGUGGAAGAGCAAAAUGGAAAGAACUCUGGCUUCUGAGUUCUGAAGUCAGUCUAAACCAAGUGAACAGAGCCACCUGCUAAGCCUGGGACUAAUCUGUGGUUAGAGAACAAGUUUCAGGAUUCCCUAAGUCACUGUAUUUGGCUGCCCACUUGUCCUAGCUGUUGAAACACCACUCUAUAAACAAUUCACAUUCAGGUGAUCUAUUCUUCUCCCCACCCCCAUGAGACAGACAAGUCCAUGAGGGCAGAGACUGAAUCCAUCUUUCUGUAUCUGGCCUGGAGUAGAAGCUGGCACACGAUAAGUCCUCCUUGAUGGAUGCACCUAUGGAAUGAGUGGUUGAAUAAAUGAUUACUAUACUGUUGCAGAAAUGCCAACGAGAAGUGUUUGUGCAUUAAGACUAGAUGCAGGCAUAGAAAGACUGGUCCUCAGCCAGAUUCUAGACCACAUGCGUAACUGGCAGCAUCUUUGUGGGACUGGAGGGAGGGAUGCAGCAGAUUUUGGUGGAUUUUGAAAGGUGGUAAUGUGUGGACUUGCCAGUGCUAGGAAGGCCUGCCAGCAGAACCCCCUGAGUACCGUUUAGUGACCACUGUGGUGAUUAAAUACAGCAUACUGCACAGUGGUUCCCUAGCUCUUUUUCCAACAUGUUCUCCUGGUUGAGUAGCUUUGAAUCCAGGAAAGCAAGAGAUGGCAGAGGUACUGUCCGUCAGUAUCAUCUGUAGCCAUCUUCGAGCUGCCAGCAUGACAGCUGGGGAAGAGUAGGAUCAAGUUGACUGGCAGAAUGCUUUAAUCUAAUGAGUUUGUGCACAAUGAUAGUAUAAUAAAUAAGGCUCUAGAGGAACUUGGUUAUCACUUGCAUUCCAAAAGUGAGAUAUGGCCUUACCAGAAGCUCACAGAGCCAUCUGUCAUCAAAUAUCAGUCUCUGUGUCAACGGCUGGCCUGGCCUGGGAAAUGGAAAACAUCAGCAGAGGGAGGUACAUGAUGACACCAUGUCUUUCAGAAAGACUUAAAGGGAGCUAGCUCAAGGAGCCAGAGAUUUCCAGAUGAUUUUGAAGUAAAUAUCUACAGCCACUACCUAAAGCAGUUGGACUUGAAAUCUUAGCUGCUGAAUGCCAAUGAGCCUUUCCAUUGGACAAGUUCUGCCUGUCAGUUGGGUUAAGUUAUUGAGUAAUAUCGUUCUUAUCUGCCUGGAUUUGGGGCUGGAAUUAUUGUGAUCAUUUUUAAUGUGUUUUUGCCAGCUUUAUCCAACUGAUCCAAUGAAAUCUGACUGUCACCAGACACUUUGCUAAGGAUACAACCAUUGGUGACAGGGAUAUCGAAAGUGGACAGAAGCUUGAGAAUUAAAUAAAAGCUGUUAGGAUGUUCAGUUGCUUGGUUUUUUUGUCUUUUUUGUUGUUUGGGGAAAAAGAAAGAAAGAAAACUAGAGCCGAAAUGAAUCUUGUCAAUCAAUAACACAACUAAAUGCUGAGCAUAGCAAAUCCAAUGGUAAUGGAUAAAGUCAGAGAGGAAAGGGAGGUACACUGAUCACUUUAAAAGAAUUUGAAAGUAGGGAGGUACACUGAUCACUUUAAAAGAAUUUGAAAGUAGAAUAACAAUUUAUUAAAAGGAAAAACAUUCAAGAAUAACCAAGAUCUAGUGGCAGCAAAUACAGGUGACUGUGUGGGGCUUAAGGUCUCCAGCCAAGACUCAUCUUCUUAGGAUUUAUGCCUAGACAAAGUGAGGGCAGUUACAGGGAUGGAUUUCUAGGGACAGGAUUCAAUGAACUUAGUUUUAGUGAUUUAUAGAAUUCACCUUAGAAUUGGUUUCUCUGUUGAGAACUACUGUUGUAUGAUACUAUGCCUGAGAAGAUGAAAACUAACGUCUAUUCACUCAGAUAGGGAAUUAAUGAGAGAUAAAAGCCAGGAUUGGUAAACCAAUAUUUUAUUAUGGAAAGUUUCUUAUAAGAGUAUGGGUGAGGGUUUACUUACAGGAGCAAAUAUGACUCAAAGACAGUUGCGUCACCAGAAGCCCACCCAUUGUAACAGGUGACAGUUCACAGAGGCUGGAAGUCUGGAGUUCACUGCACCACCUGCAGGCGGCAUUGUUGCUAGAGUUUUCCUGCCUGGCCCACAGUCAGGAUAAAUCUCUGCCACCCUCCAGUCCCACAACCGCUCAGACCCGACCAAAUAAACACAGAGACUUAUAUUGGUUACAAACUGUAUGGCCGUGGCAGGUUUCUUGCUAACUGUUCUUACAGCUUAAAUUAAUCCAUUUUUAUUAAUCUAUACCUUGCCACGUGGCUCGUGGCUUACCGGCAUCUUUACAUGCGGCUUGUCAUCAUGGCGGCUGGCAGUGUCUCUCUGACUCAGCCUUCCACUUCCCAGCUUUAUUCUCCUCCUUGUCCCGCCUACACUUCCUGCCUGGCCACGGGCCAAUCAGUGAUUUAUUUAUUGACCAGUCAGCAACACAUUUGACAUACAGACCAUCCCACAGCACGGCAUGGCAGGUUAGAGGUUAGAGCUUGACUCUUCUGGUAGUUCAGCUGGUCUGAGCCACUAUUGGGAAGCUCAGCAGGACUGAGACUCUCAGAGUCUAGCUGCUUACAUAACCUUGGGGGCAGAGGAGACUAGUGAAUCUGCUCAGUUUCAGGGACUUUCUGAAGCUUUUGAGUUGUUCACCUACCCUGUAGGGUGGAAUGUUUCAUCUCCCCCUUAACAUAAUUAUAAGUCUCCCUUUCUUCCCUCCAAACCCUCCCAGAUACCACUCCCCACUCUCCUUUAGCUUUGUGGUCUCUCUUUUCAUUAAUUGUUAUUGCACACACACACAUUCCUAAAUUUAACUUGUUGAGUUUAUAAAAUGUUAUUUGCACAUGUGUUUUCAGGGCUCUUUGACACUGGACACCCAUCAGUGUGCUCUUCCUUGGAGAAGACCACUUCUCCUCCCAGCUUUCCUCAGUUUCCUAUAGUCUUUGUGUAGGGUUGAGGUUUUGUGAGCUCUUCCCCAUCCACUUUGGUAUGUUCAUUAGUGUCAUCCACAUUUGGGCAGUCACCUUGGUGAAACUUUAUGGGUGUAGCUUCUCAUGUUACUAGGUGAUAACUAUUAAAGUCACUUUUAGGAAGGGAGAUAGGAAGGAAAAGGCAGAUGGAAGUGAGGCAGGAGAUGGUGGAUAAUGUACAGAAGCUGUGCAUUCAGGGUUUUGAUCACUUUUUCACAACAUGGUUAUUUCUUCUAUAUUUUACUAACUAGGAAUAUGAUAAAAGAAAGUGCUUAGCCAGUUUCAUAAUUACUGUAUGUGGUAGUUUGAAUGUAAUUGGCCCCCAUAAUCUCAUAGGGAGUGGCAUUAUUAGUAGGUGUAGCCUUGUUGAAGUAGGUGUGGCCUUUUGGAGGAAGUGUGUCAUUGUGGGAGCAGGCUUUGAGGUCUCCUAUACUCAAGCUUUGCUCAGUGUGAUACUCAGACCACUUCCUGUUGCCUUUGAUUAAGAUGUAGCCAGCACCAUGUCUGCCUGAAUGCUGCCAUGCUCCCCACCAUGAUGAUAACGGACUGAACCUCUGAACUGUAAGUGAGCCACCCCAGUGAAAUGUUUUCCUUAUAAGAUUUUCUAUGGUCUGAACUUCUGAACUGUAAGUGAGCCACCCCAAUUAAAUGUUUUCCUUAUAAGAUUUUCUGUGGUCAUGGUGUCUCUUCACAGAAACAGAAAUCCUAACUAAGAGACUGUAAUUCUAAAGUCCCUUCAUCUGUACAUUUUCAAAGAUUAACCAAUCACACAAACUCAGGGAGUCUUCUGUUAGCAGUUCACAGUUCCUAGAUCCACAAUCAUCAUAAAUACUCUAGAAAGUAAACACAGAUACUACAACUUUGGGUCCUAUCAUCAUAAAUACUCUAGAAAGUAAACACAGAUACUACAACUUUGGGUUCUAUCAUCAUCAUAAAUACUCUAGAAAGUAAACACAGAUACUACAACUUUGGGUCCUAUCAUCAUAAAUACUCUGGAAAGUAAACACAGAUACCACAACUUUGGGUCCUAUCAUCAUAAAUACUCUAGAAAGUAAACACAGAUACUACAACUUUGGAUCCUAUCCAAGUUAAGAGAGAAAGAGAGAGGGAGAGCAAAUCCACAGAUGAAUACUUUACUUUCUUUUUACUUUUUAUGUUUGAUACACAAUACAAACAGACAUGAGAUUUUCUACAUAAUGUCUUAGAACUUAGUUUUCUGAUUUUAGCUUCAGAUUUUAAUUGCAUCUACUCUUCAAGUGUACUGGAGUUCUGACACCUGAUUAAUAAAUCAGCCUUUUUAUUCCAGUUCUAUCUGGUGUUCUGCAUCACCUGCACCCAUGUCAGCAUCAUCUUGAGAAACAAAUUUUCAAGACUUGGAUACAAAAUCCUUGAUGAAUGAUCUUCAUCGGAGGCUCUGGGAGCAGCUGAGGUGGGCAGGACACCUCAGGCCAGGACUUUCCGUAAUGUAUGUAAAAAACUUGAAAAAGUCAACUCAUAAUCAAAUUGUUAUAUGAUCCAGCAAUCCUACUUCUGGAUAUGACCACCUGCUAGAGUGGGAAAAAAAUCAGGAACAGCAGAGAGAUAUUUAUACGUUUACAGUCAUAGCAUCAUUCCUCACAAGUCAAAAUGUAGAAGGAACCUGGCUGUUCAUCCAUGAACAAAUGGCUACAUACAAUGUGGUCUGCAUGUGGGACAGAAUGUUCUUCAGCCUCAGAAAGGAAGUAAAUUCUGCUUCAACAUGAAUAAAACUCGAACACAUUGUGCAGGGUGAAAUAGGCCACAGAAAGGAACAGGUACUGGAUAACUGUCAGAUACCUAGGGUGGGAAGACUCAGAAAGACAGCAAGUUAAAAUAUGGUUGUCAAGAGGUGAACAGAAGUUACAGUUGAACUCUGGUGUCAGUUCUGGAAAGUGAAUGUGCUCAACCCUGACUCUAUACUUUGUAGUGGUUAAAUCAGUAAAGUGUAUUUUUGUUUGUUUGUUUGUUUAGUUCGGUUUUUUGAGACAGGGUUUUUCUGUGUAGCUUUGCACCUUUCCUGGAACUCACUCUGUAGCUCAGGCUGGCCUGGAACUCAGAGAUCCACCUGCCUCUGCCUCCCGAGUGCUGGGAUUAAAGGCGUGAGCCACUACCGCCCGACGAAGUGUAUAUGUUUUAUCAAAGUUUUUUCUUUUUGUUUUUUUGAAACAGGGCUUCACAUAGCCCAGGUUGGCCUCAAACUUACCAUGUACCCAAGGAUUCCUUUGAGCACCUAGUGAUAUUGCCACUCCACCACCCAAGUGCUGGGAUUAUAGGCAUGGUGAUACAUGCCUGAUUUAUGUCAUAUUGAGGAUUGAACCAGGGCUUCAUGCAUGCUAGGCAAGUUAGCACUCAUCCAAGCCCUCUCACACCUUCAGGGCUGGCCUACCUGUGCCUGUCUACAGCGUCAGCUCUACUGUGCUUCCCAGGCAAGGCACAGGGCCCAUUCUCCUGAGUGCGGCCGCUGGUUAUCGGGUUGGGACAGGUCCCCCACCAGCUGCAGGUGUUGAGUGAGAUGGGAGGAGGGCAUCUUUCCCUCACCCAUGCCACCACAUAGCAGAUGAGAGGGGCAUGACCUGCUCUCCAGUUCUCACACCUUCAGGGCCAGCUCGCCAGGCCCCUGAGAACAGGGUCAGCUCUAUUGUGCUGCCCAGGUGAGGUGUAGGAUCUUCUCUCCUGAGCCCUUCAGCUAGUGAGGGGCAGGGCCAGUUCUCCCUAGUGCUGCAGCCAGUGAGGGGCGGGGCCAACACUGUACAACCCUACCCCUCGGCCUUUGGUGGUAUCAGGAGCCUCGGACCGUGGCUGCAUUCAGGGCUACAAACCCAGACAUAGGCCCUGGCAGUAGCCCCGCCAAGACAUCACCAUGGUCCUGGGUGGCAAUUAAGCCACCCACUUCAGCCCGCUCUUCACCUUUUUCACCUCUUCAGAUAUGCCUCUGUCCACAGGACAUGGACCAUUCUGUGUCUCUUUCUCUACCAUACCACUCCAUACAUUUACUCACCAUAAUAGUGCCCAUCUUCCUGGUGCCACAAGGCACUGGGUAGGCUGUGUUUUCUCCUUGGAGCCCAGGACAGUCUGCCCCAGACCUGUGUGUGGGUCUCUUUGCUUCAUUCAAUCAAUAAUGUGGAUUGAUGGAAGUUCAAUUUCUUAAAGGGAACUGCAAAAACAAUGACUUUUUUUUUUUUUUUAAAUAAAGGAUCCAGUUCUUGUUUUAAAAGUUGUGUUCAAAGGUUUGAUAGUUGUUCAGUGAGGACUUAGGAAACUUUGAGUCUUACCACUCUAAAUUUAAGCUGUACAUGACAAGCUGGCUAUGCAUAAAAGGAAGAGUAUUGGUCAGGCUGGGCUAACUUGUCCUCUCUGUCACAACCUUCCUGUUAAGUGAUCUGACUGUCCAUCAGCAAGGGAGAUCUGCUCAUUCUGGUCACUUACGGCCAGGGCUGUCUCCAUUUUGUGACACAUGCCCAUGACUACUCAUCUAGCACACGGAGACUCACACAUGGUUCUUAAAUUUUUAAAUUUGAAUUCACAGUUGUUCAAAGCGAGUCAAACAUUUCCCUUCAGUACUUGCCAACUCUUCCCCAGUUCCUUGUUUUCCUUUUGCAUCUAAGCUGUUUUCUCUUGGAUGCCUGUCAUAGGGUUUCCAAGUGUGAUAAAACACCAUGGCCCAAAGAAAGUUGCAGAGGAAGGAGCUCAUCUGGCUUACUCUUCUACAUCACAGUCCAUCAUCAAAGGAAGUCAGGACAGGAACUCAAGCCAGGAACAUGGAGGCAGGAGCUGAUGCAGAGACCAGGAAGCAAUGCUGCUUCCUGGCUUGCUUUCUGUGAUCAAGAUGUAUUGACACUAUACUCUGCCUGAUCAUAAUGGACUAAACCUCUGAAACUGAAAAAAAAUACACAUCCCAUUAACAAACACAUCCAAGUUACUGGAUAUGGGGUCCACUUGAAUUUGGCAAUUAACUUUGAGGAUCCUGCCAAGAAGAUAACUUGUGAUGCAGAGGACAAUUAAGGACUGGCUCUGGGUGGGAUGCAUCCUCCCUGCUCUAGGGCCUUCUUAUAAGACUCUCUAGAGUGCCUGCUGUGAAAGCUCGAAGACUUGAGUUUGGAUCCCCGGGGUCCAUGUAAAAGCUGGAUGUGUAUCUAACUCCAUAUGCUGGGGGAGGGAGGAUGGAAGAAGGAGAAUCUUUGGAACUCGGUGGCUCAAUCUAGCCAAGUGGAUGAGUUUCAGGUUCAUGAGAGAACUUAAAUUGAAAAACAAGGUAUAGAGAGCUAUCAACAAAACCCAACAUUAACCUCUGUUCCCCCUCCACACACAUAAGCAUACCCCCCCCCCCGACAAGCACAGAGUGAGGGAACAUUAAAAAACUAGCUAUGAGAAGAUGUGGUAUCAGUCUGCGAAUCACAAAAUUUUCUGUGGAUUUGAAAUCAGUAUUAAAAUUUUUCAAAUAGCAUCUUUAGCUGGAUUUUUCUUCAAAAUAGACAUUUUCUUCAAAAUGUAGGGCAAAAAUCAAUCCAGAAAGAAAGAAAAAUAAGUACAAAUGACCAUACCAACCAAUCUCCAUGAAUACCAAUUUUAAGUUUUAAAAGGCCACUGAAGUCUGAGGCUGUUUGAAUUUGACAAAGUCUGAGCGCCCCCUGAUGGCUAGUUGGAGCUCCUACAGCACAUGCUGUAAUUUUAGUUGCCCUGGGGUCAACUUAUUUACUUUUUUCCUUCAAAUAAUCAAAGUGAUUAUUCUUAAGCAAAAGUGUUGUGUGCAAGAAAAAACCAAGUGUAUGGGUUUAUGACAGAAAAUAUGGAUUGUUUAAGACGCUUCUAAUUUAGUAAAAUUUAAGGUCAACGCAGAUUUUCUAAGCAAGAGAUGAAGUGUGCACUUUUAUAAGGACUGCCAGGCAAUUUUUGUUUUUAUAAAGGACUGCCAGGCAAUUUUUGUUUUUAUUUCACUGAACUAGUGUCUAAGUAUCUUUAUACCAUUCCAGGGAAAUAACACAAAUGAUCAGCCGAGAAAGAAAAGCUGCAGCCACCAUCUGAGCAUCAGUUGCAGGCUGGCGCCCUCCGCUGGCCGCUCCCAUGGCUGCAGGGCUGGCAAGGAAUGCCACCCACCGUGGCCCUGCUAAGGGGUGCGGGUGGCCUGGUGACUUUUAGUACCUUUCCCCCAGGCAAUUGUGUCACAAGCACAUACUCUUUUCUUUCGACAAAAAUCUUAUCUUGAUUCAACCCGAAGGCUGGAGUUACAAGGGAAUCGGUAAGCCGAAGUUACAAGGGAGCUGUGAAGAUAUAUUCUCCAUUGAAUAAAUGGAUCCUGGAGAAUGAAACCGCUUCCUGGGGAAGGUAAAGAGAGACAAUGUUUGCAGAGGAGAGGAAGCUCUGGCAUGCACCCCGGAACAAAAGGGAACAAGUGGUCUUUACUCAGAGAACAGCUUCCCAUUAGGACUCACUCCUUCGUACAUCAUGCCUUUCAUCCCCACUCAACCACAAAAUGAUUUUACUGAAGCAAAUACAAUGGUAGAAAAAGAUUUACACUGAAAGAAUCUUUAAUAAUAAACUGUUGCCGAUCGGCCUACUUGCCCGUGAUUUAUAAUACAAUAAACAUCGGAUUCUAUUACGGCUCAUGCACUGAAGCCUCUGCUCUGAAAAACGGAAUACGAAAGCGCGGGGACCCCGCCAUCAUCACAAUGAAAUGAGCAUGUAUAAAUGUGCUAAGAGUAUCUCUUUGCAUCUUU